rfam:Pseudoalteromonas atlantica T6c, complete genome.
UUUUGAUGUACCGCGACUCCAAUUUUCCAGAUUUUAGAUAGACUUGCCAGAUGCUCUGACAUGGACGUCAGGGCAAGGCGAACCGCUUUACAUGGAUGUUACCUUUCGCCGCUCUGGCAUUGAAGUCUAUUAUAAAUAUGAAUUGAAAAUUGGCUGGAGCGCGGCUU